CAGCGGCUUCACCGGCACCGGCUCAGGCUUCAGCAGCAGCAACAGCGGAGCUCAAGGAAGCGGCGGCUCAGGCUUCAGCGGCGGCAACAGUGGCUUCACCAGCGGAGGACCUGUAGCCCAUCCCAUCCCGGCCAGCAGCGUGAGAAAAUGGUAAUCUUGAGAACUGUAAUGAGACAGGACCGUUGAAUUUGGUUAGUUAAUAAAGAUGUAAUUAGAAGCA